UGGAGUUUUAGUUGGAAUGAGGAUUCUUUGCUUUUGAGACUUAAGGAUGGUUUACCUGAAGAUAUGGAAGUAUUGUUUGUUGGGUCUUUAUCUGUUGAUGUUGAUCCAAUUGAACAGGAUGAUGUUUCUAGCUAUCUUUUGGAUAAAUUCAGAUGUGUGCCGACGUUUCUUCCACCUAAUAUUGUGGAAAAAUACUAUGAGGGAUUCUGCAAGAGGCAUUUGUGGCCACUUUUUCACUACAUGUUGCCUUUUUCACCCGACCAUGGAGGCCGCUUUGAUCGUUCUAUGUGGGAAGCAUAUGUUUCUGCCAACA
rnacentral:misc_RNA from 1 species